AGAGUCAAUGGAGAAAAUGCCCGGGUACAUGGGCAUUUAGCAGACCAGGAAAGGACUGAAAAGCAGAUCUGAACAGCAGAAAGUGUGGAGAAGAGAUUGGAGUGAGGCAAUACAUGGGAGCAAGACUGCAGGCUGGACGAUGGAUCAGGAAUUCAUUGCAAUAAUCAGGCCCAGGGAUAACCAGGACCUACUGACAGCUACUACAUGAGUGAGCUCGGAAGUCGGUCCUAACUCAGCUGUAGCCUUCUGGAGACUGCAGUCCCUCUGGACAGCUUAACUGCAACUUCAUGAGAGACCUUGAACCUAAACUACCAGGGACCCAAAUUUCUGACCCACAGAAACUAUGAGACAAAGUUUUUUGCUAUAAGUUGGUAAAUUUGUUAUUUACCAAUUUUUGGGGGUAAUUUGUUAUACAUACAUGGAUAACUAAUUCAUCAGAUUAAUGAAAGUGAAGGGAAGGUGGUGAUCGGUUUCCAGGACCCAGCACAGUUGGAUAACUUUCUCCAGCAGCCCUAGACAACUCCAGACAAUAUGCUUGUCGACUUUAUAUGCCAUUGAUAUUAUGCGAUGUCCAAUAAUAUCUUUUUUUAAUAGUAUUUUUUAUUUUUUUCUUUCUAAUUUUGCUGUUUUAAGGCUGUGGUUCCCAGGUUAGGGGUUGAAUCAGAGCUGUAGCUGCCAGCCUAAGCCAUAGCCACAGAAACACAGGAUCCAAGCCGCGUCUGCGACCUAUACCACAGCUCACGGCAACGCCGGAUCCUUAACCCACUGAGUAAGGCCAGGGACUGAACCCACAUCCUCAUGGACCCUAGUAGGGUUCGUUAACCACUGAGCCACGAAGGGAACUCCUUCGAUAGUAUCUUUUGAUAAAAUAAUUUUGCCAAAAUCUUAUUUAACUUUCUUAAUGAGCUAUUAACCAUUAACACUAUGUCUGACUUUAAAAGCUUUUUGACAAGAAUGUGUCCUGUCACUGUUUUGACUUUAAAAAGCAUAGCUUGAAGUUCCCAUCAUGGCACGCAGAAAUGAAUCUGACUAGGAACCAUAAGGUUGUGAGUUUGAUCCCUGGCCUAUGCUCAGUGGGUUAAGGAUCCAGCGUUACCGUGAGCAAUGGUGUAGUUCGCAGAGGCGGCUCAGAUCUGGCGUUGCUAUGGCUGUGCUGUAGGCUGGCAGUUGUAGCUCCGAUUAGACCCCUAGUCUGGGAACCUCCAUGUGCCACUAGUGUGGCCCUAAAAAGCAAAAAAAAAAAAAAAAAAAAAAAAAAAAAAAAAAAAUUUAAAUAAGUAAAAAGCAUAACUUUAUUUUUUUAUUUUUAUUUUAUUUUUUAAGGGCUGCACAUGUGGCAUAUGGAAGUUCUCAGGCUAGGGGUCAAAUAGGAGCUGCUGCUGCAGGCCUAUGCCACAGCCACAGCCACACCAGAUCCAAGCCUUACCUGUGGCCUAAACCACAGCUCAUGGCAAUGCUGGAUCCUUAACCCACAGAGCGAGGCCUGGGCUCGAACCCGAAACAUCAUGGUUACUAGUUGGAUUGGUUUCCACUUGUUCCCAUUGGUUCUGGGAACUCCAGAUAGCUUUAUAGUUUUGAUCACUUCUCUUACUUUUAGGAAGAAAUUUUAUCAAAGUUAUAUCAGUAAACAUUAUUUUGUGGGAUCUUCUUCCUCCAGAAAAAAUAUUUUUUGUGGUUACUAGAUUGGCCACCGAACUUUUUUCAAAAAUGGCACUAAAAUUUCAUUUGUUUGACUAAGUUUCAUAAUCUAUGUAAUGAAAUAGAUGUAAUGUACUGGGGGCCAGGGGCAAAUGGACUACCAGUUUAAUAAAAACAUACAUCUUAGAGCCU
rnacentral:lncRNA from 1 species